rnacentral:rRNA from 1 species
UACAGAGGUGGCAAGCGUUGUUCGGAAUUACUGGGCGUAAAGGGCGCGUAGGCGGUCUUGUAAGUCCCGUGUGAAAUCCCUCGGCUCAACUGAGGAACUGCACGGGAAACUGCUUGGCUUGAGUUCGGGAGAGGGAAGCGGAAUUCCGGGUGUAGCGGUGAAAUGACGUAGAUAUCGGAGGAACACCGGUGGCGAAGGCGGCUUCCUGGACCGACACUGACACUGAGGCGCGAAAGCUAGGGGAGCAAACGG